AUUGGAAUCUGCAUUCGGGUUCCUUCAUGCUUGGACACGCCCUUAGUACACGCCUUUUGGGGGUGGGCUUAAGGGUAUAUAAUGGUUACACCAGGUAAGCUCACUUGCCAUUCACUCCUGGACACUGCAGCGGAUGGGUCUGCUAUCAGACCAUCCAGCUACUUCUGGCCAUUUCUGCCUGAUCUUCCAAUUCAUGGUCAUUUGGCAUACACUCUGCAAUUCUGCAUAAAAAUAUCUUCCUGGGAUAAACUUCUUGGAAAUGUAUUUUUCUUAUGGCAUGUGUUUAGAAUGAACUUUUGUUUAUUCACUCUGAGCUUUCCUUGCUGCGGACGUCCACCCAUGUGUGGAGGGAGACCAAGCCGGGUCCUUUUGGAGGAGGGGGAUGGAUCUCUUUUCUUUUAGAUGACAGACGCAUG